rnacentral:rRNA from 1 species
CCUACGGGGGGCAGCAGUGAGGAAUAUUGGUCAAUGGACGCAAGUCUGAACCAGCCAUGCCGCGUGCAGGAAGACGGCUCUAUGAGUUGUAAACUGCUUUUGUACGAGGGUAAACGCAGAUACGCGUAUCUGUCUGAAAGUAUCGUACGAUUAAGGAUCGGCUAACUCCGUGCCAGCAGCCGCGGUAAUACGGAGGAUUCAAGCGUUAUCCGGAUUUAUUGGGUUUAAAGGGUGCGUAGGCGGUCGGAUAAGUUAGAGGUGAAAUCCCGAGGCUCAACUUCGGAAUUGCCUUUGAUACUGUUCGGCUAGAGAGUAGUUGCGGUAGGCGGAAGGUAUGGUGUAGCGGUGAAAUGCUUAGAGAUCAUACAGAACACCGAUUGCGAAGGCAGCUUACCAAGCUACUUCUGACGUUGAGGCACGAAAGCGUGGGUAGCAAACAGGAUUAGAUACCCGAGUAGUC